rnacentral:rRNA from 1 species
UACGUAGGGGGCAAGCGUUGUCCGGAUUUAUUGGGCGUAAAGAGCGUGUAGGCGGCCUGACAGGUCUGCUGUGAAACUCGAGGCUCAACCUCGAGAUGUCGGCGGAAACCGUCUGGCUAGAGUCCGGAAGAGGAGAGUGGAAUUCCUGGUGUAGCGGUGAAAUGCGCAGAUAUCAGGAAGAACACCUAUGGCGAAGGCAGCUCUCUGGGACGGUACUGACGCUGAGACGCGAAAGCGUGGGGAGCAACAGG